AGAGUUUGAUCCUGGCUCAGAUUGAACGCUGGCGGCAUGCUUUACACAUGCAAGUCGAACGGUAACAGGGGAGCUUGCUCCCGCUGACGAGUGGCGAACGGGUGAGUAAUGCAUCGGAACGUACCGAGUAAUGGGGGAUAACUAUCCGAAAGGAUGGCUAAUACCGCAUACGAUCUUAGGAUGAAAGUGGGGGACCUUCGGGCCUCACGUUAUUCGAGCGGCCGAUGCCUGAUUAGCUAGUUGGUAGGGUAAAAGCCUACCAAGGCUACGAUCAGUAGCGGGUCUGAGAGGAUGAUCCGCCACACUGGGACUGAGACACGGCCCAGACUCCUACGGGAGGCAGCAGUGGGGAAUUUUGGACAAUGGGGGCAACCCUGAUCCAGCCAUGCCGCGUGUCUGAAGAAGGCCUUCGGGUUGUAAAGGACUUUUGUUAGGGAGGAAAAUUUAUCCAUUAAUACUGGGUAAAGCUGACAGUACCUAAAGAAUAAGCACCGGCUAACUACGUGCCAGCAGCCGCGGUAAUACGUAGGGUGCAAGCGUUAAUCGGAAUUACUGGGCGUAAAGCGAGCGCA
rnacentral:rRNA from 1 species